GCAAGUCGAGCGCGGGAAGCUAACUGAAACCUUCGGGUGGACGUUUAGUGGAACGAGCGGCGGACGGGUGAGUAACACGUGGGUAACCUGCCUGUAAGACUGGGAUAACUCCGGGAAACCGGGGCUAAUACCGGAUAACACCUCGGAUCGCAUGAUCCGAAGUUGAAAGAUGGUUCUGCUAUCACUUACAGAUGGACCCGCGGCGCAUUAGCUAGUUGGUGAGGUAACGGCUCACCAAGGCGACGACGGGUAACCGGCCUGAGAGGGUGACCGGUCACACUGGGACCGAGACACGGCCCAGACUCCUACGGGAGGCAGCAGUGGGGAAUAUUGCACAAUGGGCGCAAGCCUGAUGCAGCAACGCCGCGUGAGGGAUGAAGGCCUUCGGGUUGUAAACCUCUUUUAGCAGGGAAGAAGCGAAAGUGACGGUACCUGCAGAAAAAGCACCGGCUAACUACGUGCCAGCAGCCGCGGUAAU
rnacentral:rRNA from 1 species